AUUAAAGUGGCAGAUAAAUGCAAGGAAUUUAAGCUUCCUUUAUGAGAAAUUCCUUUAAUA
rnacentral:tRNA from 1 species